GGGGUUGUGGCGCAGUUGGUAGCGCGUCUGCGUGGCACGCAGAAGGUCGUCGGUUCGAGCCCGAUCAGCUCCACCA
rnacentral:tRNA from 1 species